rnacentral:rRNA from 1 species
GACGAACGCUGGCGGCGUGCUUAACACAUGCAAGUCGAACGAUGAAGCCUUUCGGGGUGGAUUAGUGGCGAACGGGUGAGUAACACGUGGGUAACCUGCCCUGUACCCUGGGAUAAGCCUUGGAAACGAGGUCUAAUACCGGAUAUGACCUGCUCUCGCAUGGGGUGGUGGAAGUUUGCGUGCAGGAUGGACCGCGGCCUAUCAGCUUG